GAAUUCUUUGUGAGUACGGAGUCCACAGCGCCUUCAGGGGGUACAGAACAAAAAUUAAAUAACUGAAGGUCAUUCGUUGUCGAAAUUUCAGAGAACGCUUCAUUUUUAUGUGAACCUUUAUUAUUCUUCUGCAAAAAAAACAAAAUGGAUCCGAAAUUGUGCAACAGGUGAUUUAAGUGUACUUAUAUUACUACUAAGGUAUAUUGUAUUGAAUCGGUAUCGGUUACCAAUACCGAAACUUUGGGUACCGAGUAUUGGGGCAACUCUGCACAUCACUAUUUUUUAAAAAUGACACUUUCAUUGAUGGCAAUUGCAGCACAUAUCACAAUUUCCUGAAUGGCACGAAUGAUUACGAUGCGCUUUCUUUGGAGAUAUUCCACGCCAAACCCUCAUUCAUCCAAGUACGGCAUAUUUACAACUCGCAAUCGAGUUCGCCUGAAGGAUGAAUGAGGAAUUAUAGUAUGCUGAAUGGAAGUGCGUGGCUCUUGGGAACUUCGGGUAUGCAGGUGAUACUCGCAGCACAAAUUCCUCUCGGAAAAAGCCAACCAUUGAAAUGAUGCUGGAUUUAGCUAAAAAGUGUUUGCAAAAUAGUGCACAACAAAUCAUGCAUUUGGCCAAAAACUUUUGUAUCGAUUGUGCGAAUUUGAAGUCUUGCAGGAUCUGUAUCGCACAUAUUAUACAUACAUGCGCGUGUUUAUUCAUCA